GAACGCUAGCUACAGGCUUAACACAUGCAAGUCGAGGGGCAGCAUGGUCUUAGCUUGCUAAGGCCGAUGGCGACCGGCGCACGGGUGAGUAACACGUAUCCAACCUGCCGUCUACUCUUGGACAGCCUUCUGAAAGGAAGAUUAAUACAAGAUGGCAUCAUGAGUCCGCAUGUUCACAUGAUUAAAGGUAUUCCGGUAGACGAUGGGGAUGCGUUCCAUUAGAUAGUAGGCGGGGUAACGGCCCACCUAGUCUUCGAUGGAUAGGGGUUCUGAGAGGAAGGUCCCCCACAUUGGAACUGAGACACGGUCCAAACUCCUACGGGAGGCAGCAGUGAGGAAUAUUGGUCAAUGGGCGAGAGCCUGAACCAGCCAAGUAGCGUGAAGGAUGACUGCCCUAUGGGUUGUAAACUUCUUUUAUAAAGGAAUAAAGUCGGGUAUGGAUACCCGUUUGCAUGUACUUUAUGAAUAAGGAUCGGCUAACUCCGUGCCAGCAGCCGCGGUAAUACGGAGGAUCCGAGCGUUAUCCGGAUUUAUUGGGUUUAAAGGGAGCGUAGAUGGAUGUUUAAGUCAGUUGUGAAAGUUUGCGGCUCAACCGUAAAAUUGCAGUUGAUACUGGAUAUCUUGAGUGCAGUUGAGGCAGGCGGAAUUCGUGGUGUAGCGGUGAAAUGCUUAGAUAUCACGAAAAACUCCGAUUGCGAAGGCAGCCUGCUAAGCUGCAACUGACAUUGAGGCUCGAAAGUGUGGGUAUCAAACAGGAUUAGAUACCCUGGUAGUCCACACGGUAAACGAUGAAUACUCGCUGUUUGCGAUAUACUGCAAGCGGCCAAGCGAAAGCGUUAAGUAUUCCACCUGGGGAGUACGCCGGCAACGGUGAAACUCAAAGGAAUUGACGGGGGCCCGCACAAGCGGAGGAACAUGUGGUUUAAUUCGAUGAUACGCGAGGAACCUUACCCGGGCUUAAAUUGCAGAUGAAUUACGGUGAAAGCCGUAAGCCGCAAGGCAUCUGUGAAGGUGCUGCAUGGUUGUCGUCAGCUCGUGCCGUGAGGUGUCGGCUUAAGUGCCAUAACGAGCGCAACCCUUGUUGUCAGUUACUAACAGGUUCCGCUGAGGACUCUGACAAGACUGCCAUCGUAAGAUGUGAGGAAGGUGGGGAUGACGUCAAAUCAGCACGGCCCUUACGUCCGGGGCUACACACGUGUUACAAUGGGGGGUACAGAGGGCCGCUACCACGCGAGUGGAUGCCAAUCCCCAAAACCUCUCUCAGUUCGGACUGGAGUCUGCAACCCGACUCCACGAAGCUGGAUUCGCUAGUAAUCGCGCAUCAGCCACGGCGCGGUGAAUACGUUCCCGGGCCUUGUACACACCGCCCGUCAAGCCAUGGGAGCCGGGGGUACCUGAAGUGCGUAACCGCGAGGAGCGCCCUAGGGUAAAACUGGUGACUGGGGCUA
rnacentral:rRNA from 1 species